rnacentral:rRNA from 1 species
UACGGAGGAUGCAAGCGUUAUCCGGAAUGAUUGGGCGUAAAGCGUCCGCAGGUGGCAAUGUAAGUCUGCUGUUAAAGAGUCUAGCUCAACUAGAUAAAAGCAGUGGAAACUACAUAGCUAGAGUACGUUCGGGGCAGAGGGAAUUCCUGGUGUAGCGGUGAAAUGCGUAGAGAUCAAGAAGAACACCGGUGGCGAAGGCGCUCUGCUAGGCCGUAACUGACACUGAGGGACGAAAGCUAGGGGAGCGAAUGGG